CCACAUACACUGAGAUCUGUGCAGGCAUGCAGAACCUUCUUGCUUUGAGGUGACAGGUAGCAAAAGAUUCAAGUCUAAAGGUGACCAUUCAGGGGUGUAUCCUUCCUUAUGGUACCAUGAGAGCUGGGUUAAGCUCCAGCCCAACCAAGACCAAACCGGAUAGAUGAAUGGGAAACUACCAUGUGAAGCAGUUAAAGGCAGAGUACCCAGGUGGGGCACCUUUCAGCACCCUGGCCAGUGACUCAGAGAAGGCUGGGUGUCUUGAACUGUCAUCCUGCUUCUAAGUGCAAAAGACAGCCCGGAGUCAAUCCUCGACGUGAAGAUGCACGGAAACAGUCCUUUUGUCCACAGACAAAAACCUGCAGGCAGUGAACUGGGAGGAGGCAAGUAUGCUCAAGUAUAA